UAAACUACUAAUUAAACUGUUAGAAGGAUAGCUUGGUUUUGGUUUUGAUGAAAGACGUGGCAAGCUGCGAUAAGCCUAGGGUAGCCGCACGCAAGCUUUGAUCCUAGGAUCUCUGAAUUAUCCAUGACUUUAGUUAUGGAAAAAUACGCUGGGAAUUGAAACAUCUUAGUACCGGCAGGAAAAGAAAACAAUUAGUGAUUCCCUUAAUAGCAGCGAGCGAAAAGGGAACAGGGCAAACUGAAUCUGUUCUUGAAAAAGAAUAAGAGAUGUGGUGAAGAAACAAGUGGCUAAGGAACUGAAAAAAAGUUGCCUGGAAUGGCACACGACAAAGGGUGAUAGUCCCGUAUUUGAAAGUUCUAUGUUGCUUCUUCAAAGAGUAGGGCUCCCUGGAUUGGGGGUCUGAAUAUGGCAGGAUUAACUGCUAACCCUAAAUAAAACCAAAGUCCGAUAGCGCAAUAGUACCGCGAGGGAAAGCUGAAAAGUACCCAUGGCAGGGUGUGAAAAGACUUGAAAUCUAACAGUGACAGUUUGUUACUGCUCUACUCUCUUCGGAGAACUGGGGUUGUAACGUACGUUUUGAAGAACGGGCCAGGGAGUUUAUCUAUAUGGCAAGGCUAACUUUCUAUGAAAGGUAACCAGAGCGAAAGCAAGUCCGAAAGGGCACGAGUCAUAUGGGUCAAACCUGAAGCCAGGUGAUCUAUUUAUGGGCAAGGUGAAGUCUUCCGAAAGGGGGAUGGAGGCCUGAACCGGUGUUAUGAACAUGUACUCGGAUGACCUGUGAAUAGGGGUGAAAAGCCUAUCUAACUUGGCAAUGGCUGGUUCCCGCUGAAAUAUGCCUACGUAUAGUCUUGUUCUGCUUGCCAGCGGCGUAAAGUACGGAUGAAGUUUGCAGGAGCUAUUGCUUACGGAACUUUUUCCAACUCAGAAUCUGUUGGCUGUAUAGAACAGGAAUCAGGGGCGGUAUGUAAGAUACUGUUCCGAGACCGGAACAACGGAGACCAAAGUUAAGGUCCCAAAAUUUAUGCUAAGUGUAACGAAAGGUGUCUUGAACCUGAGACACUAGGGAUGUAAGCUUAGAAGCAGCUAUCAUUUAAAGAAAGCGUAACAGCUCACCUAUCGAGGCUCAGGGCCCUGAAAAUGGACGGGGCUAAGCAUAAUACCGAUACUUUGGCGGCUCUCAUUUGAGAGUUCGGGUAAGCGGGCGUACUUAUUGCGUAGAAGCAUUCUUGAGAAAGGGUGUGGAGCGAUAAGUAAUGAGAAUCCUGGUGGUAGUAGGAUGUGAUAUUCCUGAGAACGGAAUACGUCGAAAGGGCAAGGUUUCCUUGGCAAUAUAUGUUAGCCAAGGGUUAGUCAGCACCUAAGUCGUAUCUUAACUGAAUACGACGAUGGACAAUAGGUUAAUACUCCUAUACUGAUUAGUUUUUACAUAAUCUUGUUGCUUCCGGAUAAGCGAGUACUUGAAAGGGUAUUCUAACAAAGAAAUGAACGGAGUGUAAUGCUAAGAUUUUCAUGAAUUUAUUAGACAAAAUCGCUGAGUCCAGGAGCCAGUGAAAAGCUGGAUUGUUAAACGAAAUUAAUUAGCUGUACCCUACAACCGGCACUGGUGCCCUAGCUGAGAAGGCUAAGACGUGAAAGGUAAAACCAACUAAGGGAAUUCGGCAAUUUGGCCCUGUAGCUUCGGCUGAAGGGGUGUCUAUUUUUGUGACUUGUUUCUCUAGAAAUUUGUUGCAUCGAUAGAUCUCAGUAACAAAGACGGCCCGACUGUUUACCAAAAACGUAGCCAAGUGCUAAUCCGAAAGGACUUGUAUACUUGGUGAGACCUGCCCAGUGGUGGUGUGUCAAACUCCUUUUCAAGGGAGCUAAGCCCCAUUAAACGGCGGGGGUAACUAUGACCCUCUUAAGGUAGCGUAAUGCCUUGUCAUCUGAAUGGUGACGUGCAUGAAUGGUUUAACGAGGUUGUCACUGUCCCUAGUUGGGACCUUCUGAACACACUUCGUGGUGAAAAUGCCACGGACGCCUAGUGGGAAGCGAAGACCUUGUGGAACUUUACUGCAACUUGUUGUUGUGAGUUUAUUUAGGAUGCAUAGAAUAGGUAGGAGCGUCGAAGCGGUCAUUUUGGUGGCUGUGGAGCAAAAGUGUAAUACUACCCAUCUUGAUUAAAUUUGCUUACUCCUUUGGAAGACAGCAGCAGGCGGGCAGUUUGGCUGGGGCGGCACCCUGUCGAAAAGAUAUCGAUAGGACCCAAAGACAAGCUCAUCCGGCUUGGAAAUCCGGAGUUGAGUGCAAGGGCAAAAGCUUGUCUGACUGUAUUCUGAAAAGCAAGGAAUACAGGCUCGCAAGAGUGGCCUAGUGAACCCACAUGCUCUUUUAAUAGGAGCUGUGUCUGAUAGAAAAGUUACCCCAAGGAUAACAGGCUUGUCGCGCCCGAUAGUCCAUAUUGACGGCGCGGUUUGGUACAUCGCUGUCGGCUCUACCUAUCCUGCGCGUGCAGAAGCGUGCAAGGGUGUCGGAGUUCACGCAUUAAAAGGUAUCGUUAGCUGGGUUAAGAACGUCGCGAGACAGUUUGUAUGAUAUCUACUAGGUGUGCUGUUGUCUGAGUGGAACGAACUUCUAGUACGAGAGGAACGGAGUUCGGAUGCCUCUGGUGAGCGGUUGUUAUUAGCAGGCCGCGUAGCUACGCAUUGUGUGGAUAAGAGCUGAAUGCAUCUAAGCUCGAAGCCAUCCGCAAAACGAGACAACUAAGGCCGUUGUAAAAGACAACGUUGAUAGAGUUGGAGUGUAAGAUCGAAGUUCGAAAGUGCGACGAUUUCAGCUCGCAACUACUAAAAGCCUCAUUUUAGUUUUUU
rnacentral:rRNA from 1 species